AACCCUGACGCAGCAACGCCGCGUGGGUGAUGAAGGUCUUCGGAUUGUAAAGCCCUGUUUUCUAGGACGAUAAUGACGGUACUAGAGGAGGAAGCCACGGCUAACUACGUGCCAGCAGCCGCGGUAAUACGUAGGUGGCGAGCGUUGUCCGGAUUUACUGGGCGUAAAGGGUGCGUAGGCGGAUGUUUAAGUGGGAUGUGAAAUCCCCGGGCUUAACCUGGGGGCUGCAUUCCAAACUGGAUAUCUAGAGUGCAGGAGAGGAAAGCGGAAUUCCUAGUGUAGCGGUGAAAUGCGUAGAGAUUAGGAAGAACACCAGUGGCGAAGGCGGCUUUCUGGACUGUAACUGACGCUGAGGCACGAAAGCGUGGGUAGCAAACAGGAUUAGAUACCCUGGUAGUCCACGCCGUAAACGAUGGAUACUAGGUGUAGGGGGUAUCAACUCCCCCUGUGCCGCAGUUAACACAAUAAGUAUCCCGCCUGGGGAGUACGGUCGCAAGAUUAAAACUCAAAGGAAUUGACGGGGGCCCGCACAAGCAGCGGAGCAUGUGGUUUAAUUCGAAGCAACGCGAAGAACCUUACCUGGACUUGACAUCCCUUGCAUAGCCUAGAGAUAGGUGAAGCCCUUCGGGGCAAGGAGACAGGUGGUGCAUGGUUGU
rnacentral:rRNA from 1 species